rnacentral:sRNA from 1 species
UAGUGUUUGUCGUUCCAGCGUUGCUGUG